UCGAGAAUUUUUCACAAUGGGCGCAAGCCUGAUGGAGCGACGCCGCGUGGGGGAUGAAGGGUUUCGAUCCGUAAACCCCUGUCAUUUGCGAACAAACCUUGAUUGUGAAUAGCGAUCGAGCUGAUUGUAGCGGAAGAGGAAGGGACGGCUAACUCUGUGCCAGCAGCCGCGGUAAUACAGAGGUCCCAAGCGUUGUUCGGAUUCACUGGGCGUAAAGGGUGCGUAGGUGGUCGGUGAAGUUCGGUGUGAAAGCUCGGAGCUCAACACCGAAACGGCAUUGAAAACUCAUCGGCCGGAGGGUCGGAGGGGAGACUGGAAUUCUCGGUGUAGCAGUGAAAUGCGUAGAUAUCGAGAGGAACACCAGUGGCGAAGGCGAGUCUCUGGACGACUCCUGACACUGAGGCACGAAAGCCAGGGGAGCAAACAG
rnacentral:rRNA from 1 species